rnacentral:rRNA from 1 species
GAGGAUCCAUUGGAGGGCAAGUCUGGUGCCAGCAGCCGCGGUAAUACCAGCUCCAAUAGCGUAUGUUAAAGUUGUUGCAGUUAAAAAGCUCGUAGUUGGACUUGUGUGCGCCGGAUGCGGCGAUCUGCGGCCAAAAGGUCGUUGCGAUCUGCCCGUCCUGGCGCCGUAAAAUUUGCAACUGGGUCGCCGCUGGCCUUAAUUGAUCGGUGGCGUCUGCUCGGUUGCUCGUUUACUGUGAGAAAAUUGGAGUGUUCAAGGCAGGCGUGGAUUGCAACUGAACAUGUUAGCAUGGAAUAAUAAGAUAGGGCUCCGGCUCAUAUUUUGUUGGUUUCUAGAGCGUGGGAGUAAUGAUUGAUAGGGACAGUUGGGGGUGCUAGUAUUCAGCGGCCAGAGGUGAAAUUCAUGGAUUCGCUGAAGACUGACUUAUGCGAAAGCAUUCACCAAGGAUGUCCUCUUUAAUCAAGAACGAAAGUUGGGGGAUCGAAGACGAUCAGAUACCGUCGUAGUCUCAACCAUAAACGAUGUCGACUAGGGAUUGGCGGUCGUUUUUCAUAUAAGACUCCGUCAGCACCUUCCGAGAAAUCAAAGUGUUUGGACUCUUGGGGAAGUAUGGUCGCAAGGCUGAAACUUAAAGGAAUUGACGGAAGGGCACCACCAGGAGUGGAGCCUGCGGCUUAAUUUGACUCAACACGGGGAAACUUACCAGGUCCAGAGAUGUAGAGGAUUGACAGAUUGAAGCUCUUUCUUGA